rnacentral:misc_RNA from 1 species
GAUGAAGAACGUAGCGAAAUGCGAUAAGUAAUGUGAAUUGCAGAAUUCAGUGAAUCAUCGAAUCUUUGAACGCACAUUGCGCCCCUUGGUAUUCCGAGGGGCAUGCCUGUUCGAGCGUCAUUAUAACCCCUCAAGCUCAGCUUGGUGUUGGGGCCUGCUGCACUGGCAGCCCUUAAAAUCAGUGGCGGCGCCAUCUGGCUCUAAGCGUAGUAAUUCUUCUCGCUGUUGAGCUCCGGUGGUCGCCCGCCAGCAACCCCCAACUUUUACAGUUUGACCUGGGAUGAGGUAGGGAUACCCGCUGAACUUAAGCAUAUCAAUAAGCGGAGGA